GACGAGCGCUGGCGGCGUGCCUAAUACAUGCAAGUCGAACGCACAGUUUAUACCUUAGCUUGCUACACCAUAGACUGUGAGUUGCGAACGGGUUAGUAACGCGUCGCUAACCUGCCUGGUAGCUUGGGAUAACUAUUGGAAACGAUAGCUAAUACCUCAUAAUAUUGAUUAUUGCAUGAUAAUUUAUUGAAAGGUGCAAUUGCACCACUACCAGAUGGACCUGCGUUGUAUUAGCUAGUAGGCGAGGUAACGACUCACGUAGGCGACGAUACAUAGCCGACCUGAGAGGGUGGGUAGCCACACUGAGAGUGUGACAGGGCCCAGUGGGACACAGGUGGCAGCAGGAGGGCAUCGGCGGCAAUGGGCGAAAGUCUGAGCGCGAAGCGCCGCGUGAGUGAAGAAGGUUGUCGGAUGGGAAAGCUCUGUUGUAAGGGAAGAACGGGUGUGAGAGUGGAAAGUUGACACUGUGACGGUAUCUUGUCAGAAAGAGACGGCUAACUACGUG
rnacentral:rRNA from 1 species